UCGGGAAUUUUGGGCAAUGGGCGAAAGCCUGACCCAGCAACGCCGCGUGAGGGAUGAAGUAUUUCGGUAUGUAAACCUCGAAAGAAUGGGAAGAAUAAAUGACGGUACCAUUUAUAAGCUCCGGCUAACUACGUUCCGGCAGCCGCGGUAAUACGUAGGGAGCAAGCGUUGUUCGGAUUUACUGGGCGUAAAGGGCGCGUAGGCGGCGCGGUAAGUCACUUGUGAAAUCUCUGAGCUUAACUCAGAACGGCCAAGUGAUACUGCUGGGCUAGAGUGCGGAAGGGGCAACCGGAAUUCUUGGUGUAGCGGUUAAAUGCGUAGAUAUCAAGAGGAACACCUGAGGCGAAGGCGGGUUGCUGGGCCGACACUGACGCUGAUGCGCGAAAGCCAGGGGAGCAAACG
rnacentral:rRNA from 1 species